GCUGGGCAUGGUGGCACAUGCCUGUAAUUCCAGCUACUUGGGAGGCUGAGGCAGGAGAAUCACUUGAACCCAGGAGGCAGAGGUUGCAGUGAGCCAAGAUCAUGCCAUUGCACUCCAGUUUGAGCAACAAGAGCAAAAUUCCAUCAAAGAAAAAAAAAAGACUGGAAUUUUAAGUUUUAUUUUAUUAUUAUUAUUAUUAUUAUUUUUGAGACAGUCUCUUGCCCUGUCGCCCAGGCUGGGGUGCAGUGGCACGAUCUCAGCUCAUGCAACCUCUGCCUCCUGCGUUCAAGUGAUUCUCCUGCCUCAG
rnacentral:SRP_RNA from 1 species